rnacentral:tRNA from 1 species
GAGUAGCCAAGUGGUAAGGCGCCUGUUUCGUAAUCAGGUCAACGUGGGUUCGAUUCCCACCUC